AAAGAAACCCAAGCCAGGUUCAGUGGCUUGCGCCUGUAAUCCCCGCCCCUCAGAAGGCCAGGGCAUACCAAAGUUAUUGAAAUAAGAAAUCAAGAAAGAGAGAAAAAAAAAAGAAAGAAAAACAAGUAAAAAGGAGGCUGAAGCAGGAGGAUUGCUCAAGGCCAGGAGUUUGAGACCAGCCUGAGCAACAUAGCGAGACCCUGUCUCGAAGAAAAAUAAUUUUAAAAUUGGCCAGGUUUAAAACAGCCACUGCGCCCAGCCCCCAGUUCUUACAUAGACACCAUAUAAGUGGCAGGCAGAAUAAUAGCACGCCCUAAAUGUCCACAUCCUCAUCUCCGGAACCUGUAGAUGUGUUGUCUUACACAGUAAAAGGGACUUUACAGUUGUGAUUACAGUCCGGGUCUUGAUAUGGGGAGAUGAUCCUAGAUUAUCCAGGUGGGACGAAUGUAACCACAGGUGUCCUUAUCAGUAAAAGCAAGCGGCAGGAAAAUCAGUCAGAGCCAGAGAGAGAGAGACUGGAAGAUGCUCCGCAGCUGGCUUGAAGGAUGAAGGAUAGGGUUACAUGCCAAGAACAGGAGGCAACUUCUAGAGGCUGGAAAAGGCAGGGAAGGAUUCUCUCCUAGAUGGUCCAGACAGCUCUGCUGACAACUUGAUUUUAGCCCACUGAAACCCAUUUCAGAUUUCAUUGAGAAUAAAAUUGUGUUGUUUUAAGCCGCUAAGUUUGUGAUAAUUUGUUACAGCAGCAAUAAAAAACUA
rnacentral:lncRNA from 1 species